GACGAACGCUGGCGGCGUGCUUAAUACAUGCAAGUCGAACGGACAGGCCCUGCUUUUGUGGGUUGCUCGUGUGCCGAACGGGUGAGUAACACGUGUGUAUCCUGCCCUUAUCUUUCUGAUAACUCUAGGAAACUGGGGCGCAUACCGCAGAGGAGCUCUUGCUGCACGUUGUGGGUUGGAAAGUUACGGCGGUUGUGGAUGGAAUCGAGGCUUAUCAGCUUGUUGGUGAGGUAGUGGCGUACGAGGGCUUUGACGGGUAGCCGGCCUGAGAGGGUGAACGGCGACAUGACUACUGAGAGACGGCGCAGUAGCCAACGUGAGGCAGUAGUGGGGAGUAUUGCAGAAUGGGCGGGAGUGUGAUGCAGCAACGUUGCGUGCGGGAUGACGGGUUUCGGGUUAAAAACCGAUGUCGAAGGUGACGUAGCGUUAGUGACGGUAAUGGGUAAGAAAGCACCGGCUAACUACGUG
rnacentral:rRNA from 1 species